CCUACGGGUGGCUGCAGUGGGGAAUAUUGCACAAUGGGGGAAACCCUGAUGCAGCGACGCCGCGUGAGCGAUGAAGUAUUUCGGUAUGUAAAGCUCUAUCAGCAGGGAAGAAAAUGACGGUACCUGACUAAGAAGCCCCGGCUAACUACGUGCCAGAAGCCGCGGUAAUACGUAGGGGGCAAGCGUUAUCCGGAUUUACUGGGGGUAAAGGGAUCGUAGGCGGUCCUGCAAGUCAGAGGUGAAAGCCCGGGGCUAAACCCCGGGACUGCAUUUGACACUGGUAGGCUAGAGUGUCGGAGAGGCAGGCGGAAUGCGUAGUGUAGCGGUGAAAUGCGUAGAUAUUAGGAGGAACACCAGUGGCGAAGGCGGCCUGCUGGACGAUGACUGACGUUGAGGCUCGAAAGCGUGGGGAGCAAACAGGAUUAGAUACCCUGGUAGUC
rnacentral:rRNA from 1 species